ACGCUCGACACCUACGGGAGCAGCAGUGGGGAAUAUUGCACAAUGGGGGAAACCCUGAUGCAGCGACGCCGCGUGGGGGAAGAAGGUCUUCGGAUUGUAAACUCCUGUUGUUGGGGAAAAAGAGGAUGGUACCCAACAAGGAAGUGACGGCUAACUACGUACCAGCAGCCGCGGUAAUCUGAGCGGGCUGGCAAGGC
rnacentral:rRNA from 1 species